rnacentral:tRNA from 1 species
GAGGGAAUAGCUCAAGUGGUAGAGCACAUGCUUAGCAUGCACGAGGUCCAGGGUUCAAUCCCCAGUACCUCUU